GCGCAUCAUAGCUCAGUGGCAGAGCACUGGUCUUGUAAACCAGGGAUCCUGAGUUCGAUCCUCACUGGUGGCU